rnacentral:misc_RNA from 1 species
GUUGCCGUUGAUAUACCAAUUUUUUAAAUUUUUUUUUAUAUAACAAUGGGUUGUAUAAGAAUUUAAAGUUGCUACCAUUUUUUUAAUGCAUAAAUUGUGUGUGUAGAAGAAAAUCGUAAUUUAAAGCUAAAAAAAGCAAUACACAUGCUUUUAAUUUUUCUGAACUGAAUAACAAUAUCUUGGUUAAUUUGUUAAUAAUAUUGUUAAUCAACUAUGCAGAUAAUAUUGAAUUAAGCAUGUUAAGUGCGAUUUUGUUGAUGGUCUUUUUUUCAUUAAAGUGUUUAAAUUAUGACUUUAUUGAUCAAGGUUUGGAUUAUGUUAUCGUUAAUUAGAUCAGAAACAACCUUAAUUGAAAUUUGAUUUACACUCAAGUCUUCCACAGCAUUUAAAACAUGUUUAAUCAAUUUAACAGUACUGAUCAUAAUUGUGUGAACAUUUUAAACGAUGUGUUUUGUGAAAUAAAAUGAUUUUACUAAU